CCCUCACCCCGCCACCCGCGCCCCGUAGGAGUGGGAGAGAGCCAGUUCCCGUGCUGUGGCGAGUGGAGGGCAUUGUUGCACACGAUGCAGAGGCCCCUGACACAGGCUGGGGGGCCACCAGUGAGGACAGGUGAGGUUGGCGUCUUUGUAUGUCCCCGUGUGCAUUAGUGCUGGUUGGGACCAGGAGGAGAGGUGGGCGCAGGUGAGCACUCAGCCCCUGCCCUCUGCUGGCCUCGGCGGGCGGGGAGAAGACGGCGCUCUCGGGGUGUCGUCAGCCCGCUGGAAACCGCUGGAAACCGCGUCUCUGGCUGCUCAGAGAGGGGGACCUGAGGCGUUGAGUUCUCUUCUCAGACUGUUUCCUGUGGCCCCGCGUUGAUGCCGCGAAGGGACCCAGAGACACUGAGCCUGGCGGCACCGAGUUGCUUUCCUCGCCUACCGGGCUGCGCCUGUGAAGGGCCAGUGCUGACUCGUGCCCACUUUUGGCUCCAGGGCCUGGUGUGUUGGCAGCUCGGGACCUGGUCCCUGCGUCAGGCGAGGGACCCUCCCGUUGCCCUCCCCGCGAGCGGGCUGCCUGCCAGUGGGUCUCCGCCUGGAGUGGUCUCACCUUCCAGGGACGCUGGGCAGGGCCUGGAGGUGCGGUGGGGCGUUGCUGCUGGCCCCUGGUGGGUGGGGGCCAGGGAUGCCCUCGGCAUCCUGCAGCGCGGGUGCGGAAGGGUGCUGGUUGGUCUGCGUCUCCUCGCGGGAGGGCCGGAGCGGGAGCCGCUCGUGUGCGCGGGCCGGGCGGGCUUCCGUAGUGCAUCCUCGGCCCGCUCUUGGCCCAGUGGUCUAGCUUCUCGUGACUGGGGUGAGUUCUUUCUACUUCAACGGUGUUAAAUCCCAGGUAUUAAGAUGAUAGAACUUGUUCUUAAGGAGACAGCUAAGAGCAGAGAGAGGAACUGGGAGGUGCUAGAACCCAGUCGGGGGGCUGUCUCACCGCCCCUCCCGGCUAGCUGUGCUUCCCUUGGGCGUGCGUUCUGCUGGCAGAUGAGGGGACGGUGGGUGCGGCUGUGCUGGGAACCCGACCAGGGAACCCAGACGGGUCAGGGCUGUCUGUGCACCAGGAGGCCCGAGGGAGCGGUGGGACAGCGAGUUGCAUGUGCGUGUGUCUGGGCCAAGAGAGCCCUGGGACCUGUGUGUGCGCCUCUGGGCUGCGGCCUGGGCAGGGCCGUAGGGACAGACCAGAGCUUGUGCACCCUGCCCUUUUCCUUCCUGGCUGCGUGUGAGCCCACACACGUGCGCACACACACACAAGCAUGGGGGCUGCGCGCGCCAUUUAGUUGAUUCUGUCGGGAAAGAAAUUCCAUCCGUGCUGCCAUCACGACGUGUUCAGGAGGCCCUUGCUGGUCGGGGCCGCGUGUGGUUCCGAGGCCGUGGAGGAGAUGGCAGGCGGGGGGCGCAGGGGUGACGCGGAGAGCCUGGACCGGUGUCGUCCUCCAGGGAGCCCAGGCGAGCUUGGGACGCCCCCGGGCCCCUCUUGGGAGCUCCGCACGGCAGGAGGUCAGGGCUGAGCCGUCCCGAGUGAGUGAGCAGCCGCAGCCUGGCCUCCGCCAACCCUGCAGAACACUCACCCUCACCGCUCUCUUCCCGUCCCACUGCCCUUGUUCUCCCUUAGCUGUUGAAGGUGAUGAAUGAACGGAAAAAGAGUCAGAAGAAGAAAAUCCAGGCCUUGGAUCCCCCCCUGGGCUGCCCUGCCUUUCACUGCUCCCCGGAGGGCUGGCGUCCCCUCAGAGGAACUUCUUGCUGAGCGUGUGGGGCGGGUCAUGCUUGGUGACUUUCCUUCCGUGUCCCGGGUGAGCUGCGUGGCAUCCGGGGCCGGAGGGGCUUCAGCGGGUGGGCAGGGCUGAGCCUACCCAUCUUCCUGAGAAUCACCGACACGGGGUGUGCCCCGGGGACCGCUGGGGCCACGGCUUUUUCGCAGGACAGGGCUCGCUCCCUGCCACGAGAGGAGUGCUUUCUGUUGGCCGAGGGUCCUGUGCCCUGCUCGCCCGACGAAACGUGGGGCAGGUGCUUCCCUUUUGGGGUGUUCAUCUUCUCUCCCAGACCCACAGGUAGCCUCGCUCCCUCGGCACGGGAGCAGGCAGGCAGGCACCAGGCACCCCGAGCCAGCCUGUGGGCAGCUGGCCGUGGGGCAUCAGCCCUGCAGGGUCCGGUCCCAGGAGGGGGCGCCGGCGAGGAGGGCUGAACGCCCGCUCCGCGUGCCAUCUGCAGUACAUUCUCGUGUUCCUGCUGGAAGGCUUCCUACCUUUUUGGCUGAAGAAGUGCUGGGCUCAGCUGAGUUCUGCCAAGAGCUGCCGGCAUUUAUAAUUCAUGUAAAAAUAAAUGUGUCCUCUUGUCGUGA